UACAGAGGUCCCAAGCGUUGUUCGGAUUCAUUGGGCGUAAAGGGUGCGUAGGUGGCGCUGUAAGUCGGGUGUGAAAUCCUGAGGCUUAACCUCGGAACUGCAUUCGAUACUGCGGCGCUUGAGGACUGGAGAGGAGACUGGAAUUCAUGGUGUAGCAGUGAAAUGCGUAGAGAUCCCCAAGAACACCCGUUGCGAAGGCGGCUGACUGGACACAUAUUGACGCUGAGGCUCGAAAGCAUGGGGAGCAAACAGG
rnacentral:rRNA from 1 species